GUGAGGGGAACCGCCGUCAUUUCGCAGGCAGCGGCAGCGGCACGGAGGGAAGCAUCUGCACCUGUAGAAAACAUGGGCUUUCUGAAUUGGGCUCUAUGAGGUGGGGAAGCCUCGGUGAAGGACAGGAGAGAGACGCCCAUCAUCAAGUGGCCAGUUGGAAGUUUUGGCCACACUGGAUACACACGCACUCCCACACGGACACUGAAGAGCUGCUGCUCCUUGAGAGUCCACCAGUCUCUGAGGAGAGGAUGCAAAUCCAACAGCCUGGAAUCCAGAGCCUUCUCCAGCAGGGUCAAGAGACCAACAGAAGGGAGUCCCUCUGCCUGAGGCAUUGUCUACACCCACAGGAUCCCACACUCUUAUUUGUU